rnacentral:misc_RNA from 1 species
AAAUAGGGUCCAAAGACUCCUAAAACCUACCGUGCUCCCCUACGUGGACAACAGGAAGCCCUCUGGGGCAUUGGAAAUCUGAGAAUUUGAGAACUGCGCCCCGGCGCAUGACUAAAAAAAAAUUA